AUAAGAAUCACCUGGGGAUCUUGUUAAAAAUGCAGAUUUUGAUUCAGUAUGUUUGGAGUGGGCCAGAGUUCUACAUUUUAACAAGCUCCCAUGUGAUGCUAAU
rnacentral:pre_miRNA from 1 species